AAAGGCAAUAGCUGCUGACCCGCGCGUGGCACCAGCGAAGUCCAAGUGGAGAGCGCUGCUGCCACGCACGGAAGUGACGUCAGAGUUGUGGCCACGUGAUCGUGACGUUGUUUAAACAAGUAUGGCGUGUUCCGGUUUAUAAUUUUGCGCGCGAUGCAGUGCAUUCUGCUGGAGCUGCUUCAAUUUUAUGGUUUCUUAGUGUAAUGUGUGCUAGAAUAUUCUUCUGUCUAGUUGCGUUGGAAGAGCUGGAUCGUGUCCGAGCUUGCGAUCACGAGCGACACAAGGGCGCAACCCUGGAGCCGCUCGUUUCUUUACGCCUUGCAGUGCGUUUAUGGUCUUUGUCCAGAGAAGGAAGGCCUACUGCUUGAGUGCCCAUGACAGAGUCGAUGCUGCUUCAAGCUUCAACAACUCCUCUGCCAUUUACAGCUAUGUAAGCUAAUAUUUGCACCGAGAAAAUGUUACUUAGCUCCCUCAGAUUUUUCAAAUAAAGUACUUUACCAACAAAA